rnacentral:lncRNA from 1 species
ACCCGUGCCGCUACGAUCUCCAGUAUACCUAUGAACAAGUAAUUUCCCACAAGAUUUACACUUAGCCUUAUCUUGUUCUCUUAGUUGAAUAAAAAAUUGCCAAACUAAUGAUGUUUCUGUACGUUUAAGAGGUUGUCUACUAAAAGUGAGAGUUUGUACGGGUGGGUGUGCCGGUUCAUCACCUAAGUUAUGAGCAGGACUGGUAGGUGUAUCAUCUAAAUCUACUGGAGCUUG